CACGUAGGGUGCGAGCGUUGUCCGGAAUUAUUGGGCGUAAAGAGCUCGUAGGCGGUCUGUCGCGUCGGUCGUGAAAACCUGCAGCUUAACUGUGGGCUUGCGGUCGAUACGGGCAUGACUGGAGUUCGGCAGGGGAGACUGGAAUUCCUGGUGUAGCGGUGAAAUGCGCAGAUAUCAGGAGGAACACCGGUGGCGAAGGCGGGUCUCUGGGCCGAUACUGACGCUGAGGAGCGAAAGCGUGGGGAGCAAACAGG
rnacentral:rRNA from 1 species